ACGCACGCUGGCGGCGUGCUUAACACAUGCCAGUCGAACGGAAAGGCCCUGCUUUUGUGGGGUGCUCGAGUGGCGAACGGGUGAGUAACACGUGAGUAACCUGCCCUUGACUUUGGGAUAACUUCAGGAAACUGGGGCUAAUACCGGAUAGGAGCUCCUGCUGCAUGGUGGGGGUUGGAAAGUUUCGGCGGUUGGGGAUGGACUCGCGGCUUAUCAGCUUGUUGGUGGGGUAGUGGCUUACCAAGGCUUUGACGGGUAGCCGGCCUGAGAGGGUGACCGGCCACAUUGGGACUGAGAUACGGCCCAGACUCCUACGGGAGGCAGCAGUGGGGAAUAUUGCACAAUGGGCGGAAGCCUGAUGCAGCAACGCCGCGUGCGGGAUGAAGGCCUUCGGGUUGUAAACCGCUUUCGCCUGUGACGAAGCGUGAGUGACGGUAAUGGGUAAAGAAGCACCGGCUAACUACGUG
rnacentral:rRNA from 1 species